rnacentral:rRNA from 1 species
CGAGGAAUCUUGGGCAAUGGGCGAAAGCCUGACCCAGCGACGCCGCGUGGAGGACGAAGGCCCUAGGGUUGUAAACUCCUUUUGCCGGGGAAGAAUACUGACGGUACCCGGCGAAUAAGCCACGGCUAACUACGUGCCAGCAGCCGCGGUAAUACGUAGGUGGCAAGCGUUGUCCGGAUUUACUGGGCGUAAAGCGCGCGUAGGUGGUUUGCUAAGUUCGGGGUGAAAUCUCCCGGCUCAACCGGGAGGGGUCUUCGAAUACUGGUGAACUUGAGGGCAGCAGAGGUAGGUGGAAUUCCGGGUGUAGUGGUGAAAUGCGUAGAUAUCCGGAGGAACACCAGUGGCGAAGGCGGCCUACUGGGCUGUACCUGACACUGAGGCGCGAAAGCGUGGGGAGCGAACCGG